rnacentral:rRNA from 1 species
GCAUCUAAGCGGGAAGCCGGCCUCAAGAUGAGACUUCCAUGCCUACGGGCGAGAGGCUCCCAGCAGACUACUGGGUUGAUAGGCCAGAUGUGGAAGCGUGGUAACACGUGCAGCUGACUGGUACUAAUAAGCCGAUGACUUGAUAACACACC